rnacentral:rRNA from 1 species
CAGUCGUACCGGCGGAUAAUCAGCCUUUCGGGUGCGAUUCUGUGGGGCGUGAGGAGCUUAACCGCCUUCAUGUUUUGCAUAUUCGUGCACAUUUGGUGUACUUGUCCGUGUGGUGGGUUAACAUCAAUUUCGGUCGUCAUAAAAUGAUUAGAGGAAUGUAGCUUUGGUCUCGUAUCGAAGUGUUAUAGACUCUGGUAGAUGUGACAAUUGGGAUUGAGGAUUGCAACGGAUACCCCUUCGGGGGCUACCCGUCUGGUCUCUGAAGGUUGCUCCGGUGCCGAAAGCGUGCUUACGGUCAUCGAAAGUGAUUUUCAAAAGGUUAGAACGGGUUAAAUUCGUUAAGGAUGUUGACGUAAUGGCUUUAAACGA